rnacentral:rRNA from 1 species
UACACUCCUGCGGGAGGCAGCAGUGGGGAAUUUUACGCAAUGGGGGAAACCCUGACGUAGCGACACCGCGUGAGCGAAGAAGCCCUUUGGGGUGUAAAGCUCUGUCAGCUGGAACGAAAACAAUGACGGUACCAGCAGAGGAAGCAUCGGCUAACUACGUGCCAGCAGCCGCGGUAAGACGUAGGAUGCGAGCGUUGUCCGGAUUUAUUGGGCGUAAAGAGUUCGUAGGUGGUUUGUUAAGUUUGGUGUUAAAGAUCGGGGCUCAACCCUGGGACUGCACUGAAUACUGGCAGACUCGAGUGUGGUAGAGGCUAGUGGAAUUCCCAGUGUAGCGGUGAAAUGCGUAGAUAUUGGGAAGAACACCGGUGGCGUAGGCGACUAGCUGGGCCAUAACUGACGCUGAGGAACGAAAGCCAGGGGAGCGAAUGGGAUUAGAAACCCCGGUAGUCCCA